rnacentral:rRNA from 1 species
UGGGGAAUUUUGGACAAUGGGCGCAAGCCUGAUCCAGCCAUUCCGCGUGCAGGAUGAAGGCCCUCGGGUUGUAAACUGCUUUUGUACGGAACGAAAAGGUGCCGGUUAAUACCUGGCGCUCAUGACGGUACCGUAAGAAUAAGCACCGGCUAACUACGUGCCAGCAGCCGCGGUAAUACGUAGGGUGCAAGCGUUAAUCGGAAUUACUGGGCGUAAAGCGUGCGCAGGCGGUUAUGUAAGACAGUUGUGAAAUCCCCGGGCUCAACCUGGGAAGUGCAUCUGUGACUGCAUAGCUAGAGUACGGUAGAGGGGGAUGGAAUUCCGCGUGUAGCAGUGAAAUGCGUAGAUAUGCGGAGGAACACCGAUGGCGAAGGCAAUCCCCUGGACCUGUACUGACGCUCAUGCACGAAAGCGUGGGGAGCAAA